GCAGGCCAAGGCCCUUGCGGCAUCUGCCUUGGUGUGGCGGUCGGUCUCGUUGCGGUGGUUCAGACCGCCGGCGUGCGCC
rnacentral:tRNA from 1 species